CUCAGCUGCUCGUGGUGCGUUCUGACUGGGCCGCUGGACAGGACGUCGCAUGCGGGAGGCGGGAAGAUCUGUGAUUGGCUGAGCGGCUUGUCAAUCAUAGGACUAGGACGAGCUUGUGAGGGCCUCUCAGUGAGUCCUUCCUUGGCCAAGGGCUGCAGGGGAUCCCUGGUUAUAGGAUUUUAGCAGGUUCUGAGUUUCGCACUCUCUCAGAGCUUCAGGCACCAUCUCCUUCUCUCGUGGCUGGAACACACUCCACUCCAGUGGAGAAAAGACCUUCCUUCAGUCUCACUCCCUUUGAGAAAAGCAGCACAAGGCCGCAACAUAGCAAAAUGUGAAAAAGUGAUUCCAAAGACUUUACAAAUCCACUGUACUAUAUUCUGAGGAAACAUCUAAUCUGACCAAGGUCACCAUUUGCAUGGAGUUUGUAUGUUCUCCCCGUGGAUUUCCUCUGGGUUCUCCGGUUUCCUCCCACACUCCAAAGACUUACUGGUCGGGACCUUAGAUUGUGAGCCCCAUUGGGGACAGCUUGAUGCUAAUGUCUGUGAGGCGCUGCAGAAUAUGUCAGCGCUAUAUAAGUGCGUAAAAUAAAUAUUGCUGUCCCAGACUCACAGGCACCCAGAAUUGACUUGGCCUUGCUGUCAAUUAGAGACACCCCAAUAGCAGACAACACCACAGACCAGAUGAUGAGAAACUUCAGACUAAGCACCUAAGUGCUAUGAAUAUCUGAAUUUGGAAAAGAUAAACAUGUUUGGACCAGAGUUCAUGCAAUAGAUGAAGAAAAGGAAUCGGGCUCACAAAUCAUUUUCGGAGCCUCUUAUCCGUUACUUUAUCAGAAGUAGAGCUUCUGUUGAUCCUAGAGACUCUGGGCCCUGGCGAUCACAUGACUGCUGGGACCAGAGCACGAGGCAGCAUUGCAGUCUCUGCUCAGACAUGUUUCAAAUGUCCUUGCAAAGGUAUUGUAUGUACCAAUAAUGUAAUGACCCAGACAUAUAGCGUGAACGGGUGGUCGGCAAGGAGUUAAAUAUAAUAAAAAUUGCUCUAAACCUGCCAUUAGAAAAAUUUCCCAAAGAAGGUAGCCUUUCUUCAAGAUAGACGAGAGGCUAGACCAUGAGGCGUUGCUUGCAGGGAACAUUUCAGACACCAGUCCAGGACAGAAGGGCUGGAUAAACUACAUAUUUCCAAUAUUCAAGCCUGAUGUGUCAUUAAAACCAGUUUUAAACAUUCAA